rnacentral:lncRNA from 1 species
AGGGGCCCAAAAGGGCCCAAAACAAGCAUUUAUCUAGUUUCAGGACAAUAAGGCGUGUAUAAGUAUUUCAAUUGCUCUGAAAUUGUACCACAAUGUUUAAUAUUAUAAGUAGAAGGUUGGGAUUUAUUUUAAGGGUUAUGGGGCAAACAGUCUAGGAAUAAGGGGCCAAAAACAAGCAUUUUUGUAGUUUCAAGACAAUAACUUGUGUAAAAGUGUAUGAAUCUUUCUGAAAUUAGACCACAAGAUUCCAUACUACUAAGGGAUGGUUAGGAUUGACUUUGGGGGGUUAUGGCUCAAACCAUAUAUGAAUUUGGGGCA